rnacentral:rRNA from 1 species
UACGUAGGGUGCGAGCGUUAAUCGGAAUUACUGGGCGUAAAGCGUGCGCAGGCGGCUUUGCAAGACAGAUGUGAAAUCCCCGGGCUCAACCUGGGAACUGCAUUUGUGACUGCAAGGCUAGAGUACGGCAGAGGGGGAUGGAAUUCCGCGUGUAGCAGUGAAAUGCGUAGAUAUGCGGAGGAACACCAAUGGCGAAGGCAAUCCCC